CCUACGGGAUGCAGCAGUGGGGAAUAUUGCGCAAUGGGCGAAAGCCUGACGCAGCGACGCCGCGUGAGGGAUGAAGGUCUUCGGAUCGUAAACCUCUGUCAGCAGGGAAGAACGGUCACUGUGCUAAUCAGCAGUGAAUUGACGGUACCUGCAAAGGAAGCACCGGCUAACUCCGUGCCAGCAGCCGCGGUAAUACGGAGGGUGCGAGCGUUAAUCGGAAUUACUGGGCGUAAAGCGCUCGUAGGCGGUAUGUCAAGUCAAGGGUGAAAUCCCCGCGCUCAACGUGGGAACUGCCUUUGAAACUGGCAAACUGGAGUGUGUGAGAGGAUAGUGGAAUUCCAGGUGUAGGAGUGAAAUGCGUAGAUAUCUGGAGGAACAUCAGUGGCGAAGGCGACUAUCUGGCACAUAACUGACGCUGAGGAGCGAAAGCGUGGGUAGCAAACAGGAUUAGAUACCCUUGUAGUC
rnacentral:rRNA from 1 species